CUCUGCGGCGGAAGCUGCGCUGCGGGGAGAGCGGGGUCGCUGCAAGGUCGGCGGCUGGGCCUCCGGUCCCGCCGCUGCUCUCGGGGGAGGCCUGGUGCCUGCUGUCUCCCGAAGCCGCUCCUGUGCCCCAGGACACUCAGGGUUCCUCCAGGUUGUCCUUCAGCCCUGGCAAGAGGGCCGCAGGCCCCGCAGGAAGCACAGGACAAGCUCUGGCGCGCACACACUGCACUCACCAGAAACUUCACAUGCAAGCUUAAUACUCUAACACCGGGAACAGAAUGAUGCGGUCCCAGGACCGGCGCGUGCCCACUGCCAUGCUCCUGCUGGAUUUCAUCACUCCUUGAAGGGUAACAACACGUGAAAAUACACGCGUAGUGAGAUGAGACAUCAUCACAGUUGUCGGCGAGCUGGGCCGGAGUGGCUCUGCAUGGAGGCCCCAGGGCCCUCUCCCCAGCCAGGGCCACACCCGAGGCACAUGGAGGUUCCCAGGCUAGGGGUUGAAUCACAGCUGUAGCCGCCCGCCUACGCCCCAGCCACAGCAACACCAGAUCCGAGCUGCUGCGUCUGCGACCUACACCACAGCUUGCGGCAACACCGCAUCCCCAACCCACUGAGCGAGGCCAGGGAUCAAACCUGCAUCCUCAUGGAUCCUAGUGGUGUUCGUUAACCACCGAGCCACGAAGGGAACUCUGGCCCCCCUAGUUUUGCUCACACCUGGGCUCUGGGCCCCUGACUCUCUGUCCAGUGUCACCCCCACUGACUCGUCGUGAGACCCUCAUGGGGCAGCUUCUCUGAGCCGCAGACCAGGAGUCCCUGCUCCACAUCCGUCAGCUCUGCCGUCACCCCAACCUUCUUUCGAGGCCUCCUUUACCCCCAAGGACCGCCCAGCCUGCCCCGGGACCUGCACCAGGACACCCCGUCAGAGGCCAGCCUCAGGCCCUGGAUAGAAAGCGGCUGCCCGGCCCAAGGGAAGGUCCGGGACUCCUGGGGGCGCAUAGGGCCCCAGCCCAGUGCGGUCCGAGCUGUGGGGCCAGGCGAUUCCAGGUGGAUGCUGCGCCCGGUCUCCCUCAGGCCCCAAGGCGGCCACAGGGGGAAGCCCCAGGGCCCUCCUCGGCACGGUGUGUGGCCAGGUCUAGACCACUGCAGCCAGUGACCCUGCUCCAGCAGGCGCUGAGGUGGCUGACGACAGAGUUGGACCUUAGGGGGUGGGCUUCAGGUUGGAGAAACCCCUCCCAGGAACGCAGGCCUAAGGGACACAGACGGCCACGGCCACCACCCGGAGCAGCCCCCACCCCUCCCACUCCCCCCUCCAGUAACACCCAGAGUGUGGCCAGGCCUGUGAAGGUCCUGCAGGAUGGGUCCUCCAGGAGAGCCUGUCUGCUCACUCAGAUGAGGAGGCCAGGGCUCGGACCCGGGCUGGGCCUUCCUUCAGUCCUGGGCCGUUAGCCUCUCACGGCUCUGCUUGUGUCCAGGGCUGCAGUUGCAGGCAGGGUCGGUGGCUGAAUUCAGGCCCUGUUCCCAUAGGCUCAGCACAGGGUGUGGCCUGAGGCCUGCCCAGGGGACAGGGAGGCCAUCACAGCCAGGCUUGUGCGCACCAGGGGACCGUCCAGUGACUUCAUGGUGGCAACCCGGGCUGGCUGCGGUGGGAGCGCUCAUACCACAGGUGCCCGCAGCACCGUCAGGCAUCCUCUCUUUUCUUAGCAGUAAUUUAUCAGCACAUCUGUGCGGGUAGCAGCCCCCGAGGCCCUGGGGCUGGGCUGGCCUCUCUGGAUCCCGUCCCUGUCACACACACCCCCCCCCCCCGCCACCCAGGUACUGUGCUGGUGCUUCGGCAGCCAUUGAGGAAGGCGGGAAGGCUGCGUCUCUAGAAGCUUCUACUCCUGGACACGACUGGCUGAGUGCCAUGCGUAUAAUCGGAAUGGCGGAGCUGGAGAGACGGGGGACCAUUAGCGUGUGGCCCGGCCAGCCUUAGGCUGAAUGACCCAGUGCCCCCAGGAUGCGCCACAGGAGCACUGGAGGGCUGCACUCUGAGCAGUGGGCACCGCAGGCGGGAAGGACGGAGGUCCUGAGCCGGGGGACGUGGGGGCUGCAAGGUGGGAAACGGCAGCAGAAGAGGGGGGGCACGGCAGGAGUGGGGCGACCCGUGUUCCGUCAUGCUUCCUGGGACCAGGCUGCGACCCACUCUGCCCCUCGAAGGUGGGGCCCACCUGGAAGGUCUGAGUCCCACAGCCGUGCUGCAGGUGCAGGUGGUGUGGCCCAGACAGGUGAGACCUUGGACCACCCCCACCACGACAGACGCCCUGGGCACGUCAAGGAGAGGCUGGAAAAACCGAGACUCCCCCCUGGAGGAGCAGCAGAAAAAUAAAGCUGAUAGAAAUGCCCCCCCCC
rnacentral:lncRNA from 1 species